GUCCUAGCCGUAAACGGUGAUCACUAGGUGUUGGAGGCAUCGACCCCUCCAGUGCCGCAGCUAACGCAUUAAGUGAUCCGCCUGGGGAGUACGGCCGCAAGGUUGAAACUCAAAGGAAUUGACGGGGGCCCGCACAAGCGGUGGAGCAUGUGGUUUAAUUCGACGCAACGCGAAGAACCUUACCCAGACUUGACAUGCGGCGGACGGGUGUGGAAACACACCUUCCCUUCGGGGCCGUCGCACAGGUGCUGCAUGGCUGUCGU
rnacentral:rRNA from 1 species